UGGGUGGUCUCUUUCAUCCUCUGAGCUCGGGUCCUGUACCAGAAGCCUGGGAGCUUGAGGGUUCUGCGCAGUAUCUUAGCUGUGCCUAGAACCUGACAUUUCCAGACUGAGAUGUCUGAUGUUGUUGGGAUGUGUUUUAGCCACUGCUCCAGUUUGGGGGUGACUGCCCCGAGGGCCCCGAUGACCACAGGCACUACCACAGGUCCCUGCGCUCCUCGACCCUGUAGACACAGGGUGAAUCCUAGCAACCUGCGGCCUCUUUGCCGAGAGCACCGGACGCCAGCUGAUGGUGUAGACCCGUCGAUUUCUGCUAGGAUCGGUUUGGUAAAUGCCAGGUCGCUGACAAAUAAAACUUUCGUCAUUAGGGAUUUCUUUUCCUCUCAUUGAUUGGAUGUUUUAUUAACACAAUCAUGGACAAGUGGUUUGGGUGACUCCAGCAUUUUUAAUGAACUUGUACCGCGGAACUGCGGCUAUUUUAAUGCUCCAAGGAUGUCGGGGUCCGGUGGAGGUAUAGCGACUGUAGGAUUCCAUUUUGGAAUCCUAAAGACUUUUAUCGGAAAUAAAGGCCCCUCUUAGAGGCUUAAGAGGCAGAGUGACCACAAAGUUGAUUUGUUGGAUUCUGUGAAGACGUUUGCAGGCUAAAGAGGAUAUCCCACCCAAUUCUAGAAGAAUGGGUCUAAGUGGCUCCAGCACGCAACCUCCACCUCAGGGUGAAUUGUUUGGAAUUAAAUGCUGAACAUAAAUCUUUUGUUGACAAAUUACAUAUGUUUAAUUUUUCUUUUGUUUGUUUGAACAAAUAAAUGUAAAAAAAAAAUACUUAAAAGGAUCAAUCAAUUAAUUAAUUUUAUUUAUAAGGGACCCUUUCAUGCUAAAAGCAGCUCUAAGUAUCAUGAAGUUGAGGUGAGGUGGUGAGAGAAAACGCAGACGAAGUCCAGGGUGUAGAUGAAUGAUGAUGAUGAAUAUUUAAUGAUGAGAAGCUCACAACAGUCCAGGAACUGGCAAAACGUCAGAAACUGAGGCUAAGCUCAUACCGGUAGCAACAGAGCAGCUGGAAUUUGUCACAGAAUAGAGCUAACGUCGACUCAGGACAAACAGUCCUGAGUCCUGACAACGACUAAUUGUACAGACUCUCAGGACUUAACAGUCCAACUGAGUAGACUGACUAAAAGUCAACAACGAACGACAUACGACAAGUAUCUGACAAAGAACAGGGACAACAGGUGGGCUUAAAUACACAGAGGGCAAUUAGGGAGACUAGACACACCUCGGAACAAUCAAGACGGCACAGAGACUCACAGGGGAAAACAGAUCCAGACACAGAAAAACCUCCACAAACAGGAGCCAUAAUACUGGAUGGAUAAUAAAUGACUAAAACUAUACGAUCACGUAAAAGGUUAAAAUAAGAUUCAUAAAUAUAAAUGUAUAGAAAACAAGGAAAAUGACAAAACUAACCCUAAUCGAUUUCUAUUUGCUUCUUCUCUUUCCCUCUGUCUGAGCCUCAUGGUGCAUCUGACCUCUGACCUCAACUCCUCAAACCUGUCCUCCCCUGGACCAGAUGAUGUCCCUCCUACAAAACCAGCCAAUGAAAAUGAUGGAGAAGAUCUGGAGGAUCAAGAAGACAAAAAAGACCUCCAUCACCUGCAGGGGACAACUGUCGGUCUCCUGUUGGGCAUUUGGACUGAAAACUGUGUGAGACUGAGCUUUAACAACCUCGGCUGGUCUGCUGUCCAGUAUCAGCGAAGAGGAAGAAAAGCUCUUCUCUCACAGGAGCUGUGAGAGAAAAAGACUCUGAACUGUUGACUCUUGUUUCAUCUGUGGACAACAUGGACAUUUCCUGAGGGACGAUCUGGACAACCCAAAGAUCCAACGCCAGAACCAGUUGGACUGACAGGAAGCCGGAGGAGAGAGACGGGGGAGGAUUUCACUGCAGCAACGCCAAGACCAAGUGGGGGAGAGGGGCGAAAAGGAAGGAACAACCUGAAUCCACAUCAACCACUGUGAAGGACGACCUGUCUGUAACGUCCAUCUAGAUCACGACUUUAAAUCUGAAGCAGCAGCAAAACUUCCCUCUACCAAGUAUCAAGAACUUCAACUGUUGACACCAAAGAGGACAACGUCCAGAGCGACAGCGACUGUAGAUGUUUCUGAAAGGAUCUCCACUCAAAGGACUAUUGCUGGUCCACUGGCGAGUGACCGAAGCGGAGAGUGAAGAUUUAGACUUUUCUGACAGGAGGGAACAAAUCCUCCUGAGCAGACAGACGAUCCGUGUUCCUGCUUCUACGCUUUACCUACUUUCCAGAUGGAAAAUCUACGCUUUCUUGUUGGGUUUUGAAUGGACACUUAUCUAUACUUUCACUGCACUAAUGCAAUUUUUUUUGUGGGGUUUCCUAGAAAAAACAUGAAAUUGGGUAGCUUAAUUAUGAUCAUUCAUAGUUGUUUGACUCCUAAGGAUGUUUAAGAGUUUAGAAAUUAAUUCUUCUAGACAUAAGAGAAGUCAAUUUAAAAUGAACUUUAAUGUG